AAAACUUUGCCUUAAUUUCCAAGAAGAAAAACUCAUCCCUAAAGGGCUUCCUUCUGUUCGCCGCCUCUCCUGACUGGAUCAUCAUCGAGCGUCCCCUAUAGCCGCUCUUGCGGGUUUUCGCCUGGCCGUGUCUUUUCUUCGGGCCAUCGUCCACGACUUCAAUGUUCCAUCAAUGUUGGAAUCGAUCUACAAGACAUGGUUCUCUUCCCGGCGGAGUCGAUCAAGAAAGGUAUUGAUUGGCUGAUGUGUACAUGAGUGUACUAACUUCUAGACGUCAACUUGCUUCGUCGUCGCCACCAUUGGACGUCCAUCACAGACGACGAGGACGGGGUGGAGGAUGGCAGCCGGACACGGACACGGCCAUGUUCCUGGCGAGCUAGCAUGUCAGAGGUGUUGUAGCUGUGGCGGAGGAAGGAGGGCGGACACUUGGUGGCCUCCGGCUAGAUUCAUGAAUCCCAGGGCAACAACUUUGAUCAUUAGGGCGCAUGCAACAGCGCAUAAAUUCAGCAGCAGGAACUUUUAUUGGGAAGAUUCAAGGAGCUUCUAAAUUGUUGGGCGGCCAGGGCUCACGCUGCCUUUGGUUAUGACGUGGGUUGUUGCCGAUGCUCUUGCUCCAAUUAAACUCCCGUCCAUCCAAACUCAGAUUCAGGACAGCCCCACUCCAUCAAAAUAUACUUCAGGAAACAAAGAUGACAACGGCAAAAAUAGCUUCCGCUCAUGGACUAUUAUUGGCCAAUGCUUUUUACAGGAGCAUCACUUACGUACUUGACUUCAUGUUCGACCCUUUCACAUGGGCUUGCUAGCACUGGCGCUUGCAAUGAAGGAGGAGAAGGUGUAAUUAACAAGGUACAAGUUUCUGAUAAUGAGCGUCCCAAGUAGCGGAGGGUUCGUCGUCCAGCCUGUUAUCGUAAAUAGCGGAGGGUUCAUUGUUCCUGAUAAUGAGGGUCUCAAGUAGUAUAGCUGCUCGUGUUGCUGGAUCAACACAUCAAUGUAGAGGCCUUGGUCUCUUUGACAACAUGUGGAGCAUAUAUCAUAUUGUCAAGCAAUUUUGUUAGAUCAAUUGUUAUCGAUCACUUCCAAUUCGUUGCCAUAUUUUUCCGCUCUCUUAGUCUUCUCCAUAUGAAAAUCCCACAUGUCCUUCUGAUAUAGAUUAUUAAAUUUGUUCACAUUCUCUCUUUACAGUACAUAUGCAUGGUUUGGCGGACAAUAAGUCAACCGGGGAUAUAUGGUUGGACGUUCACCGGAGUCACCAGCGUCGAUCGAUCAACGCCGGCAGCAGCGUCACACAUACACGGUUGAUACUCAAGGCCAAUGUGUCGUAGGUACGUAAAGAUAUGUAAUUCACAGUUUUACAUUAGGCAAUUCUAAGCAUAUGGAGAUGCCUUAGCCUUCAUCAGGGCUGUACAGAGGUUGUUCAAGCCUUCCAUAUAUUUUCAUCUAUAUUGGCUCUCUUAAUUCACAGAUAAAUCCCACAUUAAUUUCCAAUCUAGCCUUUUCUCUUCCAUGUAUUUCUCCAACACACCUUUCCAAUCUAGCUUUUUCUCUUCCAUGUGUCCAAUGACUUCAUAUACCAUACGUGCUGGUGCCGUCCAACUGCAGUCUGGACCGUAUCUGUGAUACCUACGUGACGCUGUUACUCAUAAUGCUCUCCACCGCGGCUGUUGUCAUGCCCUAGCAUUGCCUCGCCCCUCGGCCCAAUGGUACUGAAUCGAUCCAUCGCUGACAGGAUGUCUUGCUCGAUCUUGAUUAGUUGAAAUAAAGUUCUGCGAAUUCCUUGACUUUGUCACUUAUAUUCCAGCAGAUUAUUUAUUCUUGAGCUGGACUUAUUUUCUUAAAGGCUGAAGGAAGAAAAUUUGUAGUUUUCCUGCAUAAUGGAAUGUGUUGUUCAUACACACAUCACAUGAGUUGCAUGCUUACAAUACCUUUGGCAAUCAACUGGGUGAAAAUUUGAGUGCCUGUUAGGGCUUCAUGCGAGCAGAAUGUACAGACCUUAAUCGUUCCGUUUUUCUUAUUUCCCUUUUCCAUCACGCUAUGUUGCUAUCAAAGGAGAAAAAUCUAUCUGAUAAUGGUGCAAUAGCUGUUUUCUCAACAGAUAUGCGUAUGAGGGCCUUAAUCUUUCUGUUCUUUUGAUUUUUUUUAUCAUGCUCCAUUGCUAUCCAAGGAGAGCUAUCUAUAUGGUAAUGAUGCAGUAUUUGUUUUGUUUUGUCAACACACAUGGAGGUGAUCUCCACAUGAAAGAAUGAUGGACCGUGGUUGUGCUCGACACAUACAUUAGCAAGUAUGUGACAACACUUGCAUAGACGAGGACUCAGCUCCAGCAUCGUUGAACAUGCUACCCUCUCAACAAGGAGCACCAAAGAGGUCAAGGGACAUGCAGAAAAUUACUUCUUGGAUGUUUAUUUUCUCCCUUUUUAGUUGUAAGACAUAUAUGUGUUUUCUAUUAUAUUUUUAAAGUUGCACGUAUUAUGUAAACCUAUGAAGUUAUUUUGUCGUAUAG